GACAGAAGCAGGGCUGAGGGGAUUCAAGUGCUCAAACAGCCCAGGCGUAUGGGUCACCUGGCACCUCUGGAGGAGGGACAUGGCCCACAGAUGUCACCGUUUUUAAGAGGGCCUGCCCUGAUCUCGCCUAUGUCAAGGGUGACUAGAAGAAGGACGAAUCGGUCCUCUGUGUAGCUGUUUGCAAACGUGAAGAGAGGACAAGGAAAACUACUGGAUGAACACGGUUGUCUUGGGAAGAGACCUGCAGGAAGCUGCCCCAGCAGAGGUAAGCCCGGUACUAACAGCUUGAUUCUCAUAAAAAGGUGGCAAUAAUCGUGAAAGUGUGAGAAGGAAUGUGGCGUUAUCCAUUUAAUCCCAGAACUGAGGCUGGGAGUUGUCUCACAGUGACGUGGGCCAGGCCUCUCCCCAGCAAGGGCGAUUAAAGUGAAACCACUUAGGACAUUUGGUCUAUUUCAGAUCCCUGCCGGUAACCUUUUCCUUCUUUUCACCAACUCUUUUCAAACUUAGGUUUUUUUUUCCCUUCUGUCUUUGUAUUUUCCCGUAACAUAGCCCUCGGGGAUGUUUACUUAGAUUUCCCUGUUGGGGUUCAUGCACUGCCCUGGUCUGUGCCAUGAUCUUGUUUUUGAAGGGACUCUUGCAACUUCCCAACCCAAUGACAAGCACUCAAUAGGCAUCAAAUGGUUGCUCGUCCAUGAAGACAUGAGGUUCUCUUUCUCUUCCAAAUCGGGGGAAAUAAUCAUGAGGAAUAGCUCAUGACACGACACACUAUUUCAUUUUUGUUCAGCCUGAGGGUCCGCCCUGGAAGAUCCUCUUUACAACAUAAACAAUGUGAUGACCAUGGAAUUCAGCAGCCAACUUUGACGGUGGCCAUGACUGACGGGCACAGACAUUUCUCUGUUCCUUCUCAGCAGGCCACGGGUUUCAGUAACGCCAGAGGCUGAGAGAGGAAUUGGUCGACGGAGGUAAGCACACAUCUAUUGAGCACCUACUCUGUGCACAGCCCUUCGGGGAUACAGAAAGGUCAAGGGCAGAGCCUCCCCUCUCUAAGGACUUCCACUACCAGGCAGAAAUCGUCACAUACGAGGAAAGCUUGACUGCAAAACAUCAAUUCAUCCAGCAACCACUCACCAUCCACUGGGGCACGGACAGGGAACUCACAGUCACUCCCGGAGGGAAGCGAGUACCAGCUUGAAGCAGCGUGGUGUGGGGAGGUCCUCCUGCCUGGGUGCUGCUGAGGCAGAGAAGGAGGAGGCUGUUCUCACUGAAGGCGCCUGCACAUCUCCUCAGCAGAGACGGGGUACAGACGGGCUUUGGAGAAGGGUGGUCCCUCCGCAGGAUGCGUGGGAGAGGGAGGAUGCCCGGUAACAAACAGAGCUCCUGGCAAGGGUGGGCUGCGGCCCAGCCCAGAAGAGCUCCUCCUCCCUCCAGGAACCUGGAUCUUGUCGCCCCGGGAGAACAUGUUCCCUGCCUUCAUCCCACGGAGCAGGCUUCGUGCAGAAGCUCAUCCUGUUCACAGCUCUAACUACCAAAGGCUGGGAAUCUACAAGCUGAAUCUUCAACCCAAACUCACCUCCUGAAUGCCCAUCACUGUUGCCUUCUGUCACCGGCCUUCGGACACCCCAGGAGCACCUCAGACGCACCCGAGCACAAACUCCAUGUCUCUCCUGUGAAGUUUCUCAGAGCCCCUGCCGUGGCCAAUGCUCCUGGCCACUCCACUGUGAAAUCCACAGCAUCUGUCACUCUUCUGCUCCCUCCUGCUCUUGUCUCCAAACCCAACUAACCCAGCCACCUGCAAAUCUCUCCCGCCCUCCCGGCCACCCCAAGCAGCCACUGGGGACCAUCCUCAACCUCCCCAUCCAGUCUUUUCCCUGGGCCCGAAGCAUGUUCCUAAAAUGCAGACACGUCACAUCACUCCAGUUCAAAACCUUUCAGUAGCAUUUGUUAAUGGCCACUCAUUUAUUCCACAAAAAAUUACUUAAUCUUGGGCUGGGCAUGGUGGCU
rnacentral:lncRNA from 1 species